rnacentral:rRNA from 1 species
AAGCGCGCAACAGCUCAAAUUUGAAAUCUGGCCCUCGGGUCCGAGUUGUAAUUUGUAGAGGAUGCUUUUGGCGAGGUGCCUUCCGAGUUCCCUGGAACGGGACGCCAUAGAGGGUGAGAGCCCCGUCUGGUCGGACACCGAGCCUCUGUAAAGCUCCUUCGACGAGUCGAGUAGUUUGGGAAUGCUGCUCAAAAUGGGAGGUAUAUGUCUUCUAAAGCUAAAUAUUGGCCAGAGACCGAUAGCGCACAAGUAGAGUGAUCGAAAGAUGAAAAGCACUUUGAAAAGAGGGUUAAAAAGUACGUGAAAUUGUUGAAAGGGAAGCGCCUAUGACCAGACUUGAGCCCGGUGAAUCAUCCAGCAUUCUCGCUGGUGCACUUUGCCGGGCCCAGGCCAGCAUCAGUUUGGCGCGGGAGAUAAAGGUGACAGGGAAUGUGGCUCCUCGGGAGUGUUUAGCCCGCUCCGUAAUUACCUGCGCCAGGAAGGAGGCUACCCCCCAUUGCCAAGG